rnacentral:lncRNA from 1 species
CGUCCUCCAUAAGGUGGGUGUUGCAGAAGGAGGAAAGGAUGCUUGCAAUGAAAAGGGUGAUUGAUCUCCAAGGGUGCCUCAGCACAUUUCUUAUGGAGGUGAAACUCACACUCCGCACAGCUAAAACUUGGAGCUGACAGUGACAGCUUCUUUUUACACCUUGAGCAGAAAGCUCUUUCACUUUGAUUGCUCUGCCCUUCAUUCAACACCAGUGAAUGCUGAUGCCCAAAAUUUCCUGACUCACUCAUCUCUCUUCCCCAAUCGCACCUCUACCACGAUAGGUUUCAAAAGGAAAGGGGAACUUUGGCUAUGGCAAAGAAAGAUGUAAUAAGGAGAAUGCUUAUAAAAUGAAUACAGCGUAGUCUUUCUAAUACUAAUGCCUUAUUCCUAGCGUGCCGACACAUUCAAAAUGAAAAAAGAAGAAAGAAUCCCAUCCACAAAGGUAGAGACCUAACCAAACCAAGAAACAAGGCAGAUGCUUUGAUGAUAGGCAUAGCAAAAUAUAACAACAUAUAAAAGUAGAGUAGAAAGCGAGUAUGAGGAUUGCAUCCUCUAUUCAAGUUUGAAACUUUUACUUUGUAAGUUUAAAGUUAGAGUAGAGCAUCCCUUUCCCUUAGGAUACAAUGCAAGCCACAGAGGUCAAUGUUAUAAUUCUAACAAUUCUAGGCUCUGGCAGAAAUGAAGUUGUCUAAAUUUAAAAUCCUUCUAAUAUAUCUAAUGAAACAUGUAUGUAGAACAAAAUAUAAAUAAGACCUUCGAUUAUUAAUUGUUACAAUAUUUAUGAACCUUGAUGUGUAUAAUUUUAUUUUAUAUGAACUAAAAAAUUUGGUGUUAGGAACAACAUAAUAUAAUGAAUACUUUCAUUGUAACAAAAAUUAAAAAAGAAACAUAAUUAAUUCAAAUUCAAAAAAUCAAGACAUAAAAUAAAGCACUAUUAUAUAGUCAGGAGCAAGGGAAGGAUUCUUAUAUAUUUUGUGUCGUCCUAAUUAAGGAAGUUGAAGGAGGAAGCUGGUGGGGGAAUUCGUUGCCAUCUUGAAGAAGCUUAUAUCAUAGGUUUCAUGAAAAGUUAUCUGCCACCAAAGUUGCAAACCGCUGCUAGCCUUGGUUGGUUACUUGUUUCUUUAGGCUCAUUACUUUUUCUUUUCCCAAAAUUGUUGCUUUUGUGUCGUGUUGGUCAGUUGAACCAUUUGGCUAUUGCAGUUUCCAGUGACAAAAUCACAAUAUUGCUACAUGUUGGGCUAUGGUUAUAUAGUAACAGAGUUAAGAGGACAAGCAUGAGCAAUUGAAUAUAGGUAUUAUUUUAUGACAAAAAAAAUUUAGUAGAGGGACCAAUGAUACCAAUAAUAAUCCAUUUAAAUCAGCGAAACUUUGUACCAAAGAAAAGGAUCAAAGUUCCACGUCAUACAUGUGAGAGGUCUUCUUUUUGGAACAUAUUACUCCUUUCUUCCAAAGUUGGCAUCACCCCCUCAAUUAACUCUCAACAAUGAAAGUAAUACAUUAAACAUGCCAACUGUCUAAUCUUGCUCUACACCGUUGUACAACAUACUUUUUGGAUUUCCAUUUUCAAUUUGUGCAAUAAAAUAUUUUUUUUUUUUAAAAAGGCAGUAUGUUACAUUUGUGACAGAGGGCUCCUAGCUUAAGCAGGUACCAGACUAGGAAGAACAUGGAAAACUCAGGUAACUUACAAAGGAUAAACAACUCCACUUCAAAUAAGCAUCACACCAGUCAAAAUUUUUAACAAUCACAUUUUAGAUUGGCUGGAAUACAAUCUUUUCUUUUUCUUCCUUCAAGAGAUGCAAAUGGUACUCCUGCACACAUUUUCCCACAAAUGAAACCCAUAUAAACAUCAACUGUAACCGGAAAUUAUUAUAGAAUAUAAAGGUCAGUCAUAUAUAAGAAUCAUCAAAAAAUUAUGGGAAUAUGACCAUUGGUUGCAAAAUGUCCUUUUGCGAGUCAAUCAAGAAAAUUGUUUCCUACAGGCUGGACUCUGACAAAAAUAUAGCUAUUUCAAGAGUCAAAUUUUACUCAAAAUUCAUGAACAUACCUUGUUCCUUAGUAUAGAGGAGCAUCUUUUAUCCACUCAAAAGUCAUGGUUGCUUUAGGCUUUUGCAGUUCUAACCAUCACUGACCAAGCCUCUACAACAGAUGCAGGAUAGAUGAGGACAGAUUUGGAAGUGGUUCCUGUUUCUGAGGCAUCUGUUGUAGUUCAAGCUAAUGCAUAUAGACAUUGAGAGCAGCUAAAUAUUCAAAAUUUCUUAAAAGCUGUUAUUCCAGUCAAAUCAUGGAUAUUUGUGUACCAAAGAAGGAAUGUACAAUCCAGUAGAACAAUCAGAUAAUAUCCCAAAAACUCCCUACUAGGUGUGCAGAACCCAAUGUAGCUACAAGGGUGUAAAUUUUAUGUUUAUUAGAUACACAUGAUCUCUGUUGACGGGGUGCACUGUGAUUACUGACAAUCUCAUCCACCAAAUGAAUAGGAAAGUUGACAACCUGCUUGCAGCAUAUGCCUUCUCAACACCAGAAUCUUAACAUUUUUUUCCAAAGAAAUUCAGGAAGGGCAAUUAAUUGAGUCAUCAGAAUCAUAUUCGGAAAAUAAAUCACAAUCUGACUCCACUUCAGAACCAGGAACAAUCUUUGAUGGGUCCUCAUGACCAACAUUGACAGUUUUCUUGUAUAAGCCCCUGCUUCUAUCCAGAAAUCCUUUUCUCAUCAUGCUUGCAAAUCUUUUUCUUAUAUCAACAAGGGGAUGUCUCUGAAUAAGCCGUUGACAAUCAUAGGCUUCCCUAAGAACAACAGUUUGUGUAUCACACAUCCUGGAAAUAUAAAAGAUGCCAGGAUGGCGCUCAAACACCUUGGUAAACUUCUGAGGCAGUGACAAAGGUUUGCGUAGAUUACUCACAUUUCGACGUUCAGUUUUCUUCUGUAUGGUAAGGUGAAGAAGUUCAUGAAACACGCCCACGAUUCUCUUCUCUGAGACAUCAGUACGUGGAUCCAAGUGAGAGGCAUCAGCAUAAGGUGAACUAUAAGGUAGUUUCUGCCAUUCUUUUAACCAUUCCAUGCAUUUCCUCUUCAAUCCAAAACCCCUUGUAAAUCCUAUUGGAAAGGCUAAACAGUUAUUAUUCAAAUCAUCUUCCAUUUGCAGAAAAGCAUUCUUCUCUAAUUGGGAGACAGCAAGCGUAUCAUCCCAUGAUAAAAGUUUCAAACCAAUGCGAUCAUCAGCAAGGUGAACCAAAGAAAAUAAAUCCGGGUAAUGUGGAAUCAAGGUAUUGCUGUAAUUAUAAGGCAAUCCCAAAUCCCAAUUCAGCUGGUCAAUAGUUUGUAAAGGAAGGGUCCUAUCCUUGGUAAGCAUCAGCAGUUUGCGGAGCCUGUCAAGCAAAUUAAUCACACUCUCCUGGAUAACACCAACUUCUUCAUGGUAAAGAUUUAAGGCUUCAGCGGUCAACUCAAAGCAAGGAACACGAGUGCCACCGCUGUCAAACACAUAAAACUCAUGAAAAACAGUAGGGUAUCUCCUGAUAAAUGUGGAUAGCUUAAGAUCAUGGGGCAGACCGAGUUGACCACGAUGCCGGGACAGAUGGUAAAUGGGGAGACAGUAAUUGGAAGCAGAGGAAAGGAUGGAAACAAUAUUGCAGGCUGCUCUCAAAUCUCUUUCACCAGCAAUAACGGCAUCUAAGGCUUUAUCUUUAACCCAUUUCAACUUAACAUUAACUAGACUGAAAUUCUGCUGGUAAUUAAAUCCCCUCCUCAACCCACAUGAAAAUCUAGAAACUUUAGCAUUUCCACACAAAAACCAAUAACCCAUGUCCUUAUUUUAAUAGAAAAAUGAUUAGAAAUCAAUAACAAGAUGCUCCCAAGUUCACCAAUAAAGCAGCCUUAGCAACAUCUACAGAGACAGACAAAUAUCCAGAUUAAGAUUUUUGGUAAUUCUGCAUAUUCUGCUUUGUAUAGUAAAUAAACAAGAGAAAAAGACCAAAAAGAAGAAUAGUUCAUUGCUGUAAGACAAUUUAUCAAACACGUAACGUGAAAGAAUGCCGCGAUAUGAAAAAUGCAUACCACAGUGAGGCUGAGCUGAAUUUCGAACUACGAAACGAAUGGCCCGGUCUUAUUUUAUAGCAAAUCUCUUCCUCGCUUUUCUGUUUUUUUCCCUUUGUAUUAAGAGAGGGAAUGGCAUUUGGAGGUCCAGGUGGAGGGGAUCAACUCCCUCAAACUUUCUUAUAAUUUUCCAUUUUUAGAUUUUUUAGAUAUUUAAUAUGGUUUUAAUUUUACGCUACAAGUCUUUAAUCAACUCUAUAUUCCUUAGUUAAUUGAUUGGUUUUCCACUUUUCUUUUUGCAAAUAUAAUACCAGUAAAUAGAUUUAAUUUGAUUUUAACCCAUUUAAUUGAAUUUUUUUAACUUUUAAAAUUUUUUAAAAAUUAUUUUAGUAAUUUAUUUUGGAAAUCUAUUGACAUCAUAUUUUUUAUGUUAAUAUAACUCUAUUUUGAGAAAAAAAAAAUUAAACAUUUGCUUUGACAUUCAAAAUAAAAGGAAUACGAAACAUUUCAAUAUUAAAAUAAAAUGAAUUAGUGAAUAAGUAACAUAAGCAAUUACACAGUAAAAUAGAAUUUAUUCCUACCAAAUAGAAAAAGCAUGAAUAAGGUUAAAACGGCAAAUUGACGUGAAUAAGAUUAUAAUAUAUAAUUUGUAUAUGAUGGAUUGAGAGUUCAAAUUUAAUUACCUUUUAGUAUUCAAUUAAUAAAUGUCCUAUAUUAUAAUUAGAUAAGACUUACAGCCUUGUCUAAUAUUAAUUUUUGAAUUUUAAAGUAGGAGGGGUUAUUAUAUAUUUUUUUUAUUUUUAUUACAAAAUUUAAGUUUUAAGAGACUUAUUUUAAUUUUUUGGUGAUAGAAAUUAAAUAAUUAUAUAAUUAUAUAAGGCUUAUAGCUUUAUAGGACAUUAAGACUAAAUUUUUAAUUUUUAAGCUUUAAAGGGGGAGCGGUUAUUAUAUAUAUAAAUUUAUGUUACAAAUUUUACGUUAGAGGGAUUUAUUUUAAUUUUUUUGGUAUCAAAAAUUAGAUAAUUAGAUGAGGCUUCUAUAGCCUUAUGGUUAUAGCACAUUAGAACUUAUUUUAAAUUUUUAAGCUUUGAAGGAGGAGGGGUUGUUAUAUAUUUAUAUUUAUAUUACAAUUUUAAGCUUUAAGGGACUUAUUUUAAAUUUUAAUCUUAUUUUAAUCUCCUUAUGAUGGAAAUUAUAUUAAUCAAAUCAUUAGGAUAAUUUUUGCAAUCAAAUAAAACCCUAAAUUGAUUAAUAAGAAAAAACUCUUUCACACUUUUGAACAUAUUUUAAUAAAUAAGUAAGAUGAAAUUGAUGUUCACAUAUUUUGUAAAAUAAAAAAAAAAUUGAUAUAGUUUUGCAUUAUGUUUAAUUUUCUACUAGUGUUUUAUAUGAUAAAUUACAUCAAUGAUAUUAUUGUUUAAAUCAAAACUUAUUAUAUAAAUUGAUUUUAUUUUGUUACAUUGGAAGUUGAAUAUUAGCACGAAUUAUAUAUUUAUAUACAUAAAAAUAAAUAGGGUUACAGCUCACGGAUUUGAGAGAGAGUAAGGAUUUUGUGGCAAAACAAUUAUCCCCACCUGUUGACUCAAUCUGCUGGCUUGUUCCCUCGGAGGAAUCCAUGAACCGAAAGUAAGUCCUCUAGGCUGCAACCAAUGUACUGUAUAUAUAUAUAUACUGGUACAGUUUCUAAGCAAAUUGUUUGGUUUCUUGCAGUAGGAUGAGGUAGUAAAGAGUAUAAUUUGCUUCAAAUAAUAGAAAGAAAAGCGUACAGUUUCUUUAGUAAUAGAGAAUGUUUAGGCCAAUUGUUUACAAAUUGUGGAGGAUUUUUGGUCUUUUUGCUUGCUUGGAUAAGCUAAAAUGUAUGCUUCUUACCUUUCCAGUUGCUUGCAUUGAUCACGAAGCAGAUUGGGAAAGUAAUUUACGGCUUUGUGCAGGAUGUAGAAUUUGCCAAGCAAAUCAAACUUUGCAUGGAAGAAAGAGAUUAAAUAGUUUCAUAAAAAGUCUAUUUUCAGAUAAACCUACACAUAGCAACAAGAGAUACAUUUAAAGAAAAAAACAUGUUACAACCUUAUUAUUAUUAUCAUACAAGUAGCUAGAACCACAUUGUCAAAUUAGAGGAAAAAUCUAGUCUCAAUAAUCGAAAGCAAUCCACACCCACACCGUACAAAUUCCAAGUUACGAUUGUUACAUUACAUUUAAACUUCGUAUGGAUAAUCCAACUAAAUAAUGAUUACAAAAAUAACAAGCAUUACAAGUAACAAAGUAUAUGGACCAUACUCUGCUUUCUACUCUUGGGGUUCGCCUGCAAUUGAAGUACUGGUUUUUAGGUAUCCUGACCAACAACAUUUCCGUCCCGACUUCUCUCAAGAAGUGAAAUUACUAUCACAGAAUUAAUGAUUCUAUGCAUUUCCAGUGGACAAUAUAGUUGCAUCCAGAUGUAACACAUUCGAGGGCCAAAUCUUCACUGGACUUACCACAUUUUAUGCAUUUAGGAUAAUAAUAAAUCUUCCUCACGAAAGUGAGAGAGUGUGGAUGAUCUCUUUCUUGGCAUGUACUCCCUAGUUUGAUAAAUGGGUAGCUUCCAAUAGCACAAUUGAUAUGAGUAGAGGUAUCACAAGUUGUGCAAUGAUAAAACCAAAGAUUUGGAUCUCUUCUUUCCUCACAAAUGUCACAAUAAUGACAUUCUGAAUAAUUGUUAUUAUCACCAUAAGUGAGUGCAAGAACAUGUUUAUCACAUUUCACAUUUGUGUCUAGAGGUAUGGGGUAGUAAAAUACAUAUAUCAUGUACAGCGAAGUUGCAAUCCUUACAACAGUAUCCAACUUCCAUGUCAUCAGCAAAAGCACAACACUUCCCUUCAUACUCGAUAUAGAAAUGGAGGGGGUGUUCAUGUCCUUGACAUGUUAGAGCAUCUGGAGUUAGAGUUUCACAUCAAAGGCAUACAUGAUUCCCACAUUCAUUACAUUUAUAGGCAAAGCCGUUAGACCGGCAUUUGCAUACUUCACAUUUAAAAAUGAAGUCUGAAGUAAGGAUGAGGAAACUUUGCUGGCAACGAUGAAACCAAACAUGCUUCAUCUUAGGUCAUUCAGCACAGGUUUUGUGAAGAAAGAAAUCACAUUCUGAACAAUAGUAAAAUGAGGCUGAGAUAGGUAACAUGCAACCAUCACAAGAUUUAUCAUACUUUGCAAUUUUCUCACUUAACAUCAAGUCGUGAACAUGCUUGAAAUGUUUUAUUUUUGUGGCUUCUCCAGCAUCAUUCCUCUCAAUAACACAAGUGAUGGAGUCUAUAGAUACACCAGGCAAUAGUGCCAAACUAUCAAUAGAUUUCCCAUCUUCAUUUUCUUGCGAAACUAUAUAGUACCAGCGUUCCUUCUUUAUUGCGCAAUUCACUUGGACAAUAAUUUUGCAGUUUGAACAAUAGUAACUGCCAUGCUCUGUAUUGACCUCAUGGUGACAAAUUAUACAAUCCCAACUCUUAAAAUCUUCAUCAUGAAGGAAAUAUGUGUGAAAAAUGCGAUGAUGAUGCCACCUGUGUUUGAUAAUUUGUGGCAAUGAAAUGCAUUUCUUAUGAACCUUAAUGUUGCAUGUACAACUUAUGUAGGCAGCACAAUUUCCUUCAGUACCACAUGCAUCACAACGAAAGGGUCAUGUAUCCAAAACUGGGUGAACGGGUGUUGAUGACUUUCAUCUUCAAUGAUGGGCGAGGGUGAUACACACUGGAUGCGAACAACAACCUUGCAAAGGCAAACAGCAAUAAACAAAUCCUCUUUGUUGGGUUUCUUGGCAUAUGUUGCAAGGAAGCCGUUCACUAUUAAAUUGUAAAACAAGAGGAUGUUUGCGGUGACACGUAUGAUUGAUUUUGAAAGGUAACUCAGCACAUUUCUUAUGUAGAUGAAAUCCACAAUCAAGAGAAAAGUAUGUAGAACUUAGUAACGGUUCCCAACACCCGAAACAAUUAAAACUUUCACGUUCUUCACCAUCAUUUUUGGUGGAAAUGAAUGGAUCUUCAACAGCAACAUGUUGAAGCUCUUCAGAAAAUUUUUCAGCAAUACUAAAGGUCAAUAAAGCACAUGUGAUAUGGAAGUCUAAUCCACAAGAGCAAUGAUAAAUGAAAGUCUUACAUAUCUCAUCACAAAAGUCGCAAAUGCAGCCCACUCCGUCAGCAUAAGGUGAAUGUUGCAGAAGGAGAGGAUGCUUGGGAUGAAGAGGGUGAUUGAUCUCCAGGGGUGCCUCAGCACAUUUCUUAUGGAGGUAAAACCCACACUCCACACAGCUAAAACUUGGAGCUGACAGUGACACCUCCUCCUCACACCUUGAGCAGUAAGCUUCUUCACUUUGAUUGCUCUGCCCUUCAUUCAACACCAGUGGAUGCUCAUGUCCAAAAUUUUCAGACUCGCUCAUCUCUCCUUUCUUUUAGAGCAACGUAUCAAUGCGAAGAAGAUCAAAAGUCGAG